GUUUUCGUGGCCUAGUUGGUUAGGGCGUCUGUCUUACAAAGAUUCGUAUCUUGAAGCUCACAGAAGAUCCCCGGUUCGAGCCCGGGCGAGAACA